rnacentral:rRNA from 1 species
UUGCAGUUAAAAAGCUCGUAGUUGGAUUUCUGGGAGGGUGCCAAUGUCCGGCCUGAUUCGUGUGCAGCGGCGGCCUCCCAUCCUUCUGUCAACGCUUCGCGGCAUACAUUUGCCGGUCGCGGGCUCAGAUAUUUUACCUUGAGAAAAUUAGAGUGUUUCAGGCAGGCUAGGCCGGAAUACAUUAGCAUGGAAUAAUGGAAUAGGACUUCGGUCUCUUUGUUGGUUUGAGGGACCAAAGUAAUGAUUAAUAGGGAUAGUUGGGGGCAUUAGUAUUUAAUUGUCAGAGGUGGAAUUCUCAGAUUUGUUAAAGACUAACUUAUGCGAAAGCAUUUGCCAAGGAUGUUUUCAUUAAUCAAGAACGAAAGUUAGGGGAUCGAAGACGAUCAGAUACCGUCCUAGUCUUAACUAUAAACCAUGCCGGCUAGAGAUCGGAGGUUGUUAAUUUAUGACACCUUCAGCAUCUUGAGAGAAAUCAAAGCCUUUGGGUUCCGGGGGGAGUAUGGUCGCAAGGCUGAAACUUAAAGGAAUUGACGGAAGGGCACCACCAGGUGUGGAGCCUGUGGCUUAAUUUGACUCAACACGGGAAAACUUACCAGGUCCAGACAUAGUAAGGAUUGACAGAUUGA